GAUGAACGCUGACAGAAUGCUUAACACAUGCAAGUCUUUGGCGAAGCUGCGCUUGCGCAGACGAGCCAAGGCGGACGGGUGAGUAACGCGUAAGGAACUUGCCCUGCAGACAGGGAUAACAGACGGAAACGACUGACAAGACCUGAUACAGUUGCCGGCACGAAUGUGCCUGGCGAUGAAAGGAGACGCUGCAGGAGAGCCUUGCGCCCUAUUAGCUUGUUGGCGGGGUAAUGGCCCACCAAGGCGAUGAUAGGUAGCCGGCCUGAGAGGGUGGACGGCCACAAGGGGACUGAGAUGCGGCCCUUACUCCUACGGGAGGCAGCAGUGGGGAAUAUUGGACAAUGGGGGCAACCCUGAUCCAGCAAUUCUGUGUGCACGAAGAAGGUUUUCGAAUUGUAAAGUGCUUUCAGCAGGGAAGAAGAAAGUGACGGUACCUGCAGAAGAACGACGGUAA
rnacentral:rRNA from 1 species